AUGCCAUCCGCCGGGCCAUCCAUGUCGGCGGCGGAUGGGCUCCUCACGCUAGCGGAGGAGGCCGAGCGCCUCCGCGACUUCACCACCGCCACCUCCUGCCUGGACUCGGCGCUCAGCCCGCCCCACACCGCCUCGCUCCUCCCGCUCGUCGAGGCCCGCGCGCGGAUGUGCCUCGCUGGCCUACUGCUCACCCGCUCCAAGGGGCUCGCCAAUGCCAAGGCCCACCUCGAGCGCGCGCUGCUCGUCCUCAACCCGCUCCCCUCCGCUCCGCCGUGCCUCAAUCUGCUCGCGCACUCCCUCCUCGCCAACGUCUACGGCCUCCUCGGCGCCCUCCCGUCGCAGAAGCACGCGCUCUACCGCAGCCUCAGCCUCCUUGCAUCUGCCUCCGCCUCGGGGCUUCUCCCCCUGGCCCGGCCCUCCUCUGGACCAGUAACUUCCAGGCGCAGCUUGCCUUCCCACUCGUAG
rnacentral:rRNA from 1 species